ACACGUGGGUAACCUGCCUUAUAGUGGGGGAGUAGCCUUUCGAAAGGAAGAUUAAUACCGCAUAAGAUUGUAGUAUCGCAUGAUAUAGCAAUUAAAGGAGCAAUCCGCUAUAAGAUGGACCCGCGUCGCAUUAGCUAGUUGGUGAGGUAAUGGCUCACCAAGGCGACGAUGCGUAGCCGACCUGAGAGGGUGAACGGCCACAUUGGGACUGAGACACGGCCCAGACUCCUACGGGAGGCAGCAUG
rnacentral:rRNA from 1 species